AUCCUUUUUCUCUACCUCAGUGUCACCCUUUCCUAGAGUCGAUUAGCCGACCAUGGCCACCGCCUUUCCCUUAAGUCUCUGGCUUAUUGUUUCUGCUAAUCUUCUGCCUCUUUUGCUUAUUAUUGCUACUAUUCCAGCUGGAUCCUUUGCAAUACGACCUUAUCCAUCUCAAUCCGUCUUCACCCAACCCAGCGAUCUGACGAACAACCUCCACGGCAGCGUCGCCGAGGGAUUUGAACGGCGAUGGGGCAACAGAAGCGGCGUUGUUGCUGGCGGCGGCUUUGUUUCCGGCGAUGGCUCAUACCGAAGGAAUACUGAGCAAGGUAGAAGGUGGUUCAUGACCAUGAGAAGACUUUUGACCGGCCCAGGUCAUACUUCACCCCGUAAUGGCACACACGGGCGCUAGUGAAUAGCGAUGUUUCAUUUAAGGGCG
rnacentral:misc_RNA from 1 species